UCAUUUACACAAGAGUUCCUUCUGAUAAAG
rnacentral:piRNA from 1 species